AUUGAACGCUGGCGGCAGGCCUAACACAUGCAAGUCGAGCGGAGCGGCGGACGGGUGAGUAAUGCCUAGGAAUCUGCCUGGUAGUGGGGGAUAACGUCCGGAAACGGGCGCUAAUACCACAUACUAUCAGAUGAGCCUAGGUCGGAUUAGCUAGUUGGUGGGGUAAUGGCCUACCAAGGCGACGAUCCGUAACUGGUCUGAGAGGAUGAUCAGGCACACGGGAACGGAGACACGGUCCAGACGCCUACGGGAGGCAGCAGUGGGGAAUAGGGGACAAGGGGAGAAAGCCGGAUCCAGCCAUGCCGCGUGUAUGAAGAAGGCCUUCGGGUUGUAAAGUAAUUUCAGUCGGGAGGCGUUACCGACAGAAGAAGCACCGGCUAACUCCGUGCCAGCCGCCGCGGUAAUUC
rnacentral:rRNA from 1 species